rnacentral:rRNA from 1 species
CCUACGGGAGGCAGCAGUGGGGAAUUUUGGACAAUGGGCGAAAGCCUGAUCCAGCCAUGCCGCGUGCAGGAUGAAGGCCUUCGGGUUGUAAACUGCUUUUGUACGGAACGAAAAGGUCUUUUCUAAUAAAGAAGGCUCAUGGCGGUACCGUAAGAAUAAGCACCGGCUAACUACGUGCCAGCAGCCGCGGUAAUACGUAGGGUGCAAGCGUUAAUCGGAAUUACUGGGCGUAAAGCGUGCGCAGGCGGUUAUAUAAGACAGUUGUGAAAUCCCCGGGCUCAACCUGGGAACUGCAUCUGUGACUGUAUAGCUAGAGUACGGUAGAGGGGGAUGGAAUUCCGCGUGUAGCAGUGAAAUGCGUAGAUAUGCGGAGGAACACCGAUGGCGAAGGCAAUCCCCUGGACCUGUACUGACGCUCAUGCACGAAAGCGUGGGGAGCAAACAGGAUUAGAUACCCUGGUAGUCCACGCCCUAAACGAUGUCAACUGGUUGUUGGGUCUUCACUGACUCAGUAACGAAGCUAACGCGUGAAGUUGACCGCCUGGGGAGUACGGCCGCAAGGUUGAAACUCAAAGGAUUGACCGGNGUGAGAGAGCGAGACGACGACGAGGGAGGAGG